rnacentral:misc_RNA from 1 species
GAUGAAGAACGUAGUGAAAUGCGAUAAGUAAUGUGAAUUGCAGAAUUCAGUGAAUCAUCGAAUCUUUGAACGCACCUUGCACUCCUUGGUAUUCCGAGGAGUACGCCUGUUCGAGUGUUAUGAAGCUCUCAAAACGCAAUUGGCUUAAAACCUGAUUGUUGUUUUGGAUUUGAACUUUGCCGUGUUAUAACGGCUGGUUUUAAAAGUAUUAGCUGGUACUAGAACGAAUUGGUUCUACUCAACGUGAUAAUUAUCUGAUCGUUGAGGACAUUUCUUUCACGAGGAAUGGCCAUAGUAAAUUCAAUGGACUGCUUCUAAUCUGGCUUUAAUUCUUUAUUGGAUUAACCACUUUUCAAAUCUGACCUCGAAUCAGGUGGGACUACCCGCUGAACUUAAGCAUAUCAAUAAGCGGAGGA